rnacentral:rRNA from 1 species
CCUACGGGUGGCAGCAGUGAGGAAUAUUGGUCAAUGGGCGGAAGCCUGAACCAGCCAAGUCGCGUGAGGGAAUAAGGCCCUACGGGUCGUAAACCUCUUUUGCCGGGGAGCAAGGGCCGGGACGUGUCCCGGCCCGGAGAGUACCCUGAGCAAAAGCAUCGGUUAACUCCGUUCCAGCAGCCGCGGUCAUACGCGGGAUGCGAGCUUUAUCCGGAUUUAUUGGGUUUAAUGGGUGCGUAGGCGGGCUUUUAAGUCAGCGGUAAAAAUUCGGGGCUCAACCCCGUCCGGCCGUUGAAACUGGAGGCCUUGAGUGGGCGAGAGGAAGGCGGAAUGCGUGGUGUAGCGGUGAAAUGCAUAGAUAGCACGAAGAACCCCGAUUGCGAAGGCAGCCUUCCGGCGCCCUACUGACGCUGAGGCACGAAAGUGCGGGGAUCGAACAGGAUUAGAUACCCCGGUAGUC